AAGUAGACCAAAGUGCAAUUGACCAAGUGUCGUAGGGUUCAGGCAAUAGGGUUCCCCCAGGCAAUCAAAUUUCACCAGGCAUUUUUGGUUUAUGAGUCUGUGACGAUCCGAUUAAAAAUCCCCCCCCCCCCCCAGUCAAUCAAAUUUACCCAAGGCAAUCAAAUAAUCGACUCAAGUAAAAUAUAUACUCAAGUAAAGGUAUGUAUAUAUAAACUACAAUUUAUAAAAAAGUUAAAUAAUUGUUUUCUAUAGACUCAAGUGUGUUUUCUUAGACUCAAGUUUUUGCCAAAGCAUUAAAAAAAGAUUACGACACCCCCGAUUCCCAGGACGUCUCCGUUCCAAGUACUAAGGAAGCCCAGCGUUGCUUAACUUGCCAGAUCGGACGGGAUGGCGUGCUUUCAACGCGGUAUGGUCGUAAUCACUGUGUUUUCAAUUUCUCAAUAUUUAAGAAAAAAUUCUCUAAGGCAAAGUGGGCGGGGCUAUUUGUUGUUCGCUGUUCGCGGGAAUGGUUUAAGGCAAAAAGAAAAUGCGCAAGUUUUUGGGUGUUAAAAACCUAAAAGCGAAAUGAAAGUAAAUGGCUCUUUAGAGUCUGAUGUGAGAUCUUGUAAAAAAGGGCAGCAUGGCCCCAUUCUAACUGUUUACAGUAGGGUGGAGGAAGAGCGUACGCGGUGAGACCCGAAAGAUGGUGAACUAUUCCUGAGCAGGACGAAGCCAGAGGAAACUCUGGUGGAAGUCCGAAGCGGUUCUGACGUGCAAAUCGAUCGUCUGACUUGGGUAUAGGGGCGAAAGACUAAUCGAACCAUCUAGUAGCUGGUUCCCUCUGAAGUUUCCCCCAGGAUAGCUGGAGCUCAUUAGUAGUUAUACUCGGUAAAGCGAAUGAUUAGAGGACUUGGGAACGAAAUGUUCUUAACCUAUUCUCAAACUCUAAAUGGGUAUGAUGUCAAAGUUGCUUGAUUUUGAACUUUGGCGUUGAAUACGAGUUCCAAGUGGGCCAUUUUUGGUAAGCAGAACUGGCGAUGUGGGAUGAACCAAACGCGGAGUUGAGGUGCCAAAGUGCCCGCUCAUUAGACACCAUAAAAGGUGUUGGUUGAUACAGACAGCAGGACGGUGGCCAUGGAAGUCGGAAUCCGCUAAGGAGUGUGUAACAACUCACCUGCCGAAUCAACUAGCCCUGAAAAUGGAUGGCGCUGGAGCGGGCCACCUAUACUCUGCCGUCAUAUGCUUGUAUUUUCCGUGAAAAGUCUUGCAAUGACGUGUAAGAGGGUCGUAGUGGUUGCAAUGAAGGCUUUGGGUGUGCACCCAGCUGGAGCUUCCACUAGUGCAGAUCUUGGUGGUAGUAGCAAAUAUUCAAGUGAGAUCCUUGAAGACUGAAGUGGAGAAGGGUUCCACAUGAACAGUAGUUGAAUGUGGGUCAGUCGAUCCUAAGGCACCGGCUAAAGCCGUCUAGACACUGCGGGGAGAUGAGAUACUUAACGGUAUAUUGUCUACUCGGUUGCCGAAAGGGAAGUGGGUUAAUAUUCCCACACCAGGCAUGGGAGAUGGUGAUCCGCAAGGAUUACUUUGCGCGGUGACGCAAACGAACUCGUAGACCUCGUGUGGAGUCCGGGCCAGAGUUCUCUUUUCUGGUUUAGAGAUCAUGUCCCUGGAAGUGGCUCAGCCUGAGAUAGGGAUGCUGGUCUCGUAAAGCGCAGCGGUUCCUGUUGUGUCCCGUGUGCUCCACAUGAGCCGUGAAAAUACGAGGGAGGCAAUUUAAAAUCUCCUGCCUGAUCGUACCCAUAUCCGCAGCAAGUCUCCAAGGUGAACAGCCUCUAGUCGAUAGAAUAAUGUAGGUAAGGGAAGUCGGCAAAUUAGAUUCGUAACUUCGGGAAAAGAAUUGGCUCUAAAGGUUGGGUCAGUCGGGCUGUUGUGUGAAACAGGUGGACUUUGCUCGUGGCUGCUUGAUCUUCCCUUCGGGGCGGCGCUUGUGGACUAGUAGUGAGGACUGCUUGUGGAGCGCUUCAGCUGCGUACUAUUUCGAAAGAUAUAGUACUUCGAUUGGCGCUGAACAACCAGUUUAGAACUGGCACGAACUCCGGGAAUCCGACUGUCUAAUUAAAACAGAGGAGACGGAUGGUCUUUGCAGGACGUUGACCGUGUCUGAUUUCUGCCCAGUGCUCUGAAUGUUAAGCCAAGGAAACUUGAUUAAGCGCGGGUAAACGGCGGGAGUAACUAUGACUCUCUUAAGGUAGCCAAAUGCCUCGUCGGCUAACUACCGACGCGCACGAAUGGAUCAACGAGAUUCCCACUGUCCCUAUCUACUAUCUAGCGAAACCACAGCCAAGGGAACGGGCUUGGCAAAUUUAGCGGGGAAAGAAGACCCUGUUGAGCUUGACUCUAGUCUGACUUUGUGAAGAAUCAUGAGAGGUGUAGCAUAAGUGGGAGUCGUAAGACAACAGUGAAAUACCACUACUUUCAUCGAUUCCUUACUUAAUCGGUAAAACGGGAGUUGUGUCUACGGACCUUCAUUUUUGUUUUAAGACUAGCCACUCGGUGGUUGGUUGACUCGCGCCGAUGACAUUGUCAGGCGGGGAGUUUGACUGGGGCGGUACAUCUGUCAAAUUGUAACGCAGGUGUCCUAAGGCGAGCUCAGAGAGGACGGAAACCUCUCGUUGAGCAAAAAGGCAAAUGCUUACUUGAUCUUGAUUUUCAGUACGAAUACAGACCGCGAAAGCGUGGCUUAUCGAUCCUUUUGAGUUUGUAAAGUUUACAGCAAGAGGUGUCAGAAAAGUUACCACAGGGAUAACUGGCUUGUGGCGGCCAAGCGUCCAUAGCGACGUCGCUUUUUGAUCCUUCGAUGUCGGCUCUUCCUAUCAUUGCGAAGCAGAAUUCGCCAAGCGUUGGAUUGUUCACCCACCAAUAGGGAACGUGAGCUGGGUUUAGACCGUCGUGAGACAGGUUAGUUUUACCCUACUAAAUACUUGUUGCUAUGAUGGUAAUCCUGCUUAGUACGAGAGGAACCGCAGGUUCAGACAUUUGGUUCAUGUGCUUGGUCGAUAGGCCAAUGGCGCGAAGCUACCAUCUGAGGGAUUAUGACUGAACGCCUCUAAGUCAGAAUCCCGCCCAGUCAUGAUAGCAAUAUAUAUCGCUCUCCGGUGUCGGAAGGCAAAAUGUAUGCCACUUUUUGUGGUAUUACAAGCCCCAGUAUCUGGCAUUUUCUUUCUACUAUAAUUGGUAGUUGGUUGCUAAAAGCUUAGCACUCCACGUGCAGGUGUAACGUCGGGGCGCAAAAUCACUUGUAUACGACUUGAAUACUGGUCAGGGGGUUGUAAACAGUAGAGCAGCUCUUCGCUGCGAUCUGCUGAGACUUAGCCCUUGAUCGGAUGAUUUGU